AUGGCUUAUAUGGCCGAAAUGCAUAGCCUAAUUACAACACAAAUAAAAAUGCAACAUAAAAUGCAAUUAAACUAGUAAUAAAAAUGACAUUUAUGAAAUCAGCUAUUGUAACUCCUUCUCUAUAACUAGCCACACGCCAUUUAAGGCUUUGAAUGUCCUUUUAUGCUCCUUUUGUAACCACUCUGGAUAGGCUUUUAAAUGGCUGAAUUUUAUUUGUCUUAAUUGAUGAAAAAUGAUU
rnacentral:lncRNA from 1 species